UGGGAUGUAGCUAAGUGGUAGAGUGCUUGCCUAGCAAGCUUGAGGGCUUGGGUUCAAUCCCCAGUAACACAC
rnacentral:tRNA from 1 species